rnacentral:rRNA from 1 species
GACGAACGCUGGCGGCGUGCUUAACACAUGCAAGUCGAACGGAAAGGCCCUGCUUUUGUGGGGUGCUCGAGUGGCGAACGGGUGAGUAACAAGUGAGUAACCUGCCCUUGACUUUGGGAUAACUUCAGGAAACUGGGGCUAAUAACGGAUAGGAGCUCCUGCUGCAUGGUGGGGGUUGGAAAGUUUCGGCGGUUGGGGAUGGACUCGCGGCUUAUCAGCUUGUUGGUGGGGUAGUGGCUUACCAAGGCUUUGACGGGUAGCCGGCCUGAGAGGGUGACCGGCCACAUUGGGACUGGGAUACGGCCCAGACUCCUACGGGAGGCAGCAGUGGGGAAUAUUGCACAAUGGGCGGAAGCCUGAUGCAGCAACGCCGCGUGCGGGAUGACGGCCUUCGGGUUGUAAACCGCUUUCGCCUGUGACGAAGCGUGAGUGACGGUAAUGGGUAAAGAAGCACCGGCUAACUACGUG